CUGGCAGCCACCUGCCAGACUAGCCAAGCCUGCCUACCCUCUGCUCACCUCAGCUUAAACGUCACUUCCUCAGAGAUACCUUCCCUUCACCUGCUGCAGCUCUCACUUGCCUCCUGGGCUCCCCACGGUCUGUCCUUCUAUCUGCAUUGGGGCUUACCACCUGUGGCGCUUACCCCUCCAGCAGACUGCAGGGCGUCCCCUGAGCAGGGGCCUGCUUCAUCCUCUCUGUUUACCACUACAUCCCUAACACCAAUACUUCCAGAAUCACUUCACGGUGGUUCCCUCUAUCUCAAACCUGGCAUUUGAAACUUGGUGUUAGGUAGGUGGGGUUGCCAAGGAAGAUGCUGGAACAAAUCCCUGCAUUUCCUGAGCGGGUUAGCUGGUGACUGUGUGAACCUACAGUCCCUGUGGUAUGUGUGAUUCAGUGCCCUCAGCCUGGCAUUCGGCCGUUUGGUGAGAUGAACGCCUGCCUACACCCAAGACUCCAGGUGCUCAGCUGCAAGCCUGGUGGUUAGAAGUGGCACAGGGGCAGACCCAGAGGGGAGGGAGGGACACAGGUGACUGUAUCCCUCAGCCACGUGGCCUUGCCAGGCACCAGGGAGCCAAGGAACAAAUGAGGGGUGUUGCCAAGGAGGAUCACGAGUAGAGAGCAACAAAGCCGGAGACCCUCAAGGUUUAGGAUUCCAAGGUUCAGUGUGCGCCUGACUGCUCAGCUGGGAGUUUCCUUUGCUUUUAUGGAUUUCAAAAUGGGAAGCACUUUUCAAAGUUACGAGAACCUUCUGAUCAUGGCACUAUUGGAUAUCCGAGAGCCGAGAAUCAUUUUUGUCUUCCUACAGCUAUCACCCACCCUGUCUGAGCCUCAGUUCACUCACUUGUAUCCAGAAGCCUCAACAGAUAAUUGAAUAAUUAAGUGAAAUCACCUGUUCGCUGGAGGACACAGCCCUGCCAUCUCCACAGUCCUUCACCAGGCUUUCCCCAGCCCCCAGCUCCAGCCUCAGGAAGUGGAGCUGCUGAGAAUCUCUCCUCCAGCCUCGCCUCCUGCCGAGAGUGUCCUCUGCGCUCCAUGCCCAAUGUGGGCCUUGAACUCAAGAUCAAGAGUCAUAUGCUCUACCAACUAAGCCAGCCAGGUGACCCUUGAUCCUUUCUAAUUUUCUGAAGAAGACUGUUUCAGGCCAUGUCCUCAGAACCCCACUUUCUCUUGGUGGCCAGAGCUCAGGGCCCACGGCUACAGGAAAUUUGCAGAGUCCCUCCUUUUUUUUGUCUCUCUUCACUCUCUCCCCUUUGCUGUUCUCAUAAUCUUAUCUACCCUCUUGGCCUGCUUCUCUUUCUUUUUAACCCAUUUUUUAUUGAGAUAUAAUUAACAUAUAAUUUGUACGAGUUUAAGAUAUAAAAAAACGGUUUGCUCCAUGUA